ACGCUAGGAUCUCCAAGUUGUGC
rnacentral:siRNA from 1 species